UUUACCAGCAUGCCUCAGCUGUGGAGCUGUAUGACUGGGAUGAGUUUGUCCUGCUGCCCUGUGAGUUUCAAACUUUUGACAUGGACGACCCUACAGUGGUGUGGAGCCGCUACGAUCUCAAUCCUCCAACCGUCCACCAGCGUCAGCAGGAAGGUGAUGAACUUAAAGACCAAAACCAGCUUUACAGCGGCCGAACAUCCAUGAUGGCUGAUGCUCUGGAAACUGGAGACCUCAGCCUCAAGCUGACAAAACUCCGCCUCUCUGACAGCGGCACCUACACCUGCACCGCCAGAGCAUUAGGAGGACAACGGAGAGUGAGAAACAUACAGCUGCAGGUCAAAGGUCAGCAACAAACCCUAAAAACUAAUAUAUAUAGGUCAGUAUUGUAGAUACAGGUCAGAGGUCAGUACUGUAGAUACAGGUCAGAGGUCAGUACUGUAGAUAUAGGUCAGAGGUCAUGAUCUUUAUGUUUCUGUUCCCCCACAGAACGAUUUCCACCCUGGGCUAAAGCUCUCCUGGUUCUCCUGGUUCUCCUGGUUCUUGGUCUUAUUGUUUCUGGGGGUCUUUUGGUGCAUUUUCGGCAGUAUUUCAUGUCAGUCUACCAGGUGGAGGUGGAUUCAGGGGUGGAGUCUGUCCUGCUGCCCUGCAAAACCACAGUUCACCUGCUUAAGCAGGUCACAGUGGAGUGGACGGACAGUGACAACUGGAAGGUCCAUGUGUAUCAGAACGGUUCUGAUCAGCCUGAAGAACAGAACCAGGAUUACAGAGACCGAACAGAGAUGAAGAGAAACCUGCAGGAACCUGGAGACCUCAGUCUGACCCUGAAAUACCCCACAGACAGAGACAGAGACACCUUCACCUGCACCGUCUACAACAGGGAGAGAAAGAUCCUGAUGGAGAAACAAGUGCUGCUCAAGGUCAAAGUCUGUCAGGUGGAGGUGGAGGAGGGGGCGGAGUCUGUCCAACUGCCCUUUAAGACCACAGCUAACCUGCCUGAGGACGCUACAGUGAGGUGGAUCCGCUAUGAACCUUACAGGACGGUCCAUGUGUAUAAGAACGGUUCUGACCGGCCUGACAAACAGAACCAGGAUUACAGAGACCGAACUGAGAUGAAUGACGACCUGCUGAAAGCUGGAGACCUCAGUCUGACCCUGGAAUCCCCCAAAGAGAGAGACACAGGAACAUACUGCUGCAACGUCUACAACAAGGAGGGAAACUUCCUGAGAGAGAAAAUAGUGGAGCUCAAAGUCAGAGGUCAGUGCUGUAGAUACAGGUCAGAGGUCAGAUGUCUCUGUGUCUGUCUGUGUCUGACUGUCCUCUGUCUCCUCUGCAGGGAGAACCAGGAACAGAAGCAGCUCCAUUGAUCCAACUCCUCUGAUGGCUGAUCAAUCUGUUUGAUUGGUCUGUUGAUCAAUCUUUGAUUAUUGAUCUUGUUGAAGGGGCUCAAAGGAAGAGAAUGUCAACGUUCAGCUUUCAGUGUUUCCUCUCUUCAUCGUCUGAAUGAACCUGCAGUCCAUACUGUGAUUGAUUGAUUGAUUGAUUGAUUGAUUGAUUGUUCUCAUGUAGCUCUAUAAUGUUUCUCUGAUGUUUGUGUAUUCAGCUUCUAUACAUAUAUAUCUGGCUGUGUCUCAGGAGGUAGAGCGGGUCGUCCACUGAUCAGAAGGUUACUGGUUCGAUCCCCGGCUCCUCCCGCUGCAUGUCGAAGUGUCCUUGAGCAAAAUACUGAACCCCAAACUGCUCCUGAUGCUGAAUCACUGUAUGAAUGAGUGAAUGUGUGAAUGAGUGAAUGUAUGAAUGAGUGAAUGUGUGAAUGAGUCAGCUGAACUGUUCUCAUGUGUUUGAAUCCAUAAAGUGUUGUGAGCAGAUGAGUUAUGGAUUCGAUCAUUUCACACUCUGUUUAGAGAAUGAUGAAUAUUGAGGAGAACAACUGUAAAUAAAGCUCAAAUGUACAGAAAUCAUUUCUCCACUCUGACAGCAUCAUGAAAAUGGAUCUAAAGCUGUGAGAAUGAUGGAUUCAGGAGGCAUCAAAACUUUGAUUACUACUCUCUUCUGAAAUAACAAAACUGCUCAGUGUGACGGCCUUAUUGUGUUCCUCUUGCUUGGUUGUUUACUCUUUGUUUCAGGUAGUAAGGGGUGGAGCUGAGAUUACUCUCUGCUGCAGCUCACCUGAGCAGACUCUCUCACUCUCUUCCUCUGGCUGCUGACUGAACUGUUGGGUUUUGUUUGUGUUCUGGGUUUUACAUUCAUACAUAUACACCUCACCCUUCACUCACAUAUUAAACUGUACUGAUUAUUUUGGUGUUUACUUCAUUAAAUUGUCAUAACAAUUCACAGACUGUGUGGUCUCCGUCUUUGUUCCACUCUUUUGAGCCAGGUUGUGACUUCAGUUUGCCUUUAGUUAUUGAUGAUACUCAUCUAUGUGAAGACACUGAUCACGUUAAUGAUUUCUCACAAUAAUUAUCAACAAUGACUUUAAAAGGUGGGAAACAGAUAUUAACUAAUCUAUUAACAAUAUUCAAUCUCAUAUUUAGAAGAGGCCUGAGGGCGACUAUAUUCCAGUAUAAAGUGUCUGUUACACUCCGGUUGUAUUAUAGCAGAGUUCAACUGUUU
ensembl:lncRNA